rnacentral:rRNA from 1 species
UGGGGAAUAUUGCACAAUGGGCGCAAGCCUGAUGCAGCCAUGCCGCGUGUGUGAAGAAGGCCUUCGGGUUGUAAAGCACUUUCAGCGGGGAGGAAGGCGUUAAGGUUAAUAACCUUGGCGAUUGACGUUACCCGCAGAAGAAGCACCGGCUAACUCCGUGCCAGCAGCCGCGGUAAUACGGAGGGUGCAAGCGUUAAUAGGAAUUACUGGGCGUAAAGCGCACGCAGGCGGUCUGUCAAGUCGGAUGUGAAAUCCCCGGGCUCAACCUGGGAACUGCAUUCGAAACUGGCAGGCUAGAGUCUUGUAGAGGGGGGUGGAAUUCCAGGUGUAGCGGUGAAAUGCGUAGAGAUCUGGAGGAAUACCGGUGGCGAAGGCGGCCCCCUGGACAAAGACUGACGCUCAGGUGCGAAAGCGUGGGGAGCAAACAGG